rnacentral:rRNA from 1 species
UACGGAGGGUGCAAGCGUUAUCCGGAUUUACUGGGUUUAAAGGGUGUGUAGGCGGGCUUUUAAGUCAGUGGUGAAAUCUCCGGGCUCAACCUGGAAACUGCCAUUGAUACUAUUAGUCUUGAAUUUUGUUGAGGUAGGCGGAAUAAGUCAUGUAGCGGUGAAAUGCAUAGAUAUGACUUAGAACACCAAUUGCGAAGGCAGCUUGCUAAACAAAUAUUGACGCUGAGGCACGAAAGCGUGGGGAUCAAACAGGA